CAAUCCCUGCGUGACUGGCGAUAGGGUUCCUGAAUGACGGCGCGUGCAUUUGCGGCUGCACCCAAUGGUGUUCCAAGCGGUGUACCAGGCGGUGCAGCAAGCGGUGUAACAAUCGUGCGUCAUGCUGCGUUUGGCGCGGCUCGAUCGGGAGCUCAAGGUGGAACGACCCACCGUGAAGCGCAGGGUGCCGUUUUGCCGUUCGCCUGGGCAGCCGAG
rnacentral:ncRNA from 1 species